rnacentral:rRNA from 1 species
GAUGAACGCUGGCGGCGUGCUUAACACAUGCAAGUCGAACGGUGAAAGAGAGCUUGCUCUCUGGAUCAGUGGCGAACGGGUGAGUAACACGUGAGCAAUCUGCCCCUGACUCUGGGAUAAGCGCUGGAAACGGCGUCUAAUACCGGAUACGAGCUGCGAAGGCAUCUUCAGCAGCUGGAAAGAACUUCGGUCAGGGAUGAGCUCGCGGCCUAUCAGCUAGUUGGUGAGGUAACGGCUCACCAAGGCGUCGACGGGUAGCCGGCCUGAGAGGGUGACCGGCCACACUGGGACUGAGACACGGCCCAGACUCCUACGGGAGGCAGCGGUGGGGAAUAUUGCACAAUGGGCGAAAGCCUGAUGCAGCAACGCCGCGUGAGGGACGACGGCCUUCGGGUUGUAAACCUCUUUUAGCAGGGAAGAAGCGAAAGUGACGGUACCUGCAGAAAAAGCACCGGCUAACUACGUG